GGGCAACUGAUUUUGUAGGAGUUCAACUCCACGUACAACAGUAAAUGAUACAUGUAUCUCUUUGUUAAAGUAUUCACCACAGCAUAGCAUUCUCUGAAUUUCAAUAUUUUGAUCAGUUGAAUAAGAAAAUUACGAUUUAGAAAUGCACAUACCUUUUGAAGCGGUGACAAUUACUCCACUCAAGCACAACCGGAAAAUCCUCUCACGGUUUUCA
rnacentral:lncRNA from 1 species